rnacentral:tRNA from 1 species
GAAGGGAUAGCUCAGGGGAAGAGCACGUGCCCAGCAAGCAUGAGGUCCUGGGUUCAACCCCCAGUACCUCCA